rnacentral:rRNA from 1 species
CCCGCACAAGCGGUGGAGCAUGUGGUUUAAUUCGAUGCAACGCGAGAACCUUACCUAGGCUUGACAUCCCUGGAAUUUUGUGGAAACACAAAAGUGCCUUUCGGGGAACCAGGAGACAGGUGCUGCAUGGCUGUCGUCAGCUCGUGUCGUGAGAUGUUGGGUUAAGUCCCGCAACGAGCGCAACCCUUAUCUUUAAUUGCCAGCAUUCAGUUGGGCACUCUAGCGAGACUGCCGGUAAUAAACCGGAGGAAGGUGGGAUGACGUCAAAUCAUCAUGCCCCUUAUGACCUGGGCUACACACGUGCUACAAUGGUUGGUACAACGAGUUGCGAGUCGGUGACGGCGAGCUAAUCUCUUAAAGCCAAUCUCAGUUCGGAUUGUAGGCUGCAACUCGCCUACAUGAAGUCGGAAUCGCUAGUAAUCGCGGAUCAGCACGCCCGCGGUCGAAUACGUUCCGGGCCUU